rnacentral:rRNA from 1 species
GACGAACGCUGGCGGCGUGCUUAACACAUGCGAGUCAAACGGAAAGGCCCUGCUUUUGUGGGGUGCUCGAGUGGCGAACGGGUGAGUAACACGUGAGUAACCUGCCCUUGACUUUGGGAUAACUUCAGGAAACUGGGGCUAAUACCGGAUAGGAGCUCCUGCUGCAUGGUGGGGGUUGGAAAGUUUCGGCGGUUGGGGAUGGACUCGCGGCUUAUCAGCUUGUUGGUGGGGUAGUGGCUUACCAAGGCUUUGACGGGUAGCCGGCCUGAGAGGGUGACCGGCCACAUUGGGACUGAGAUACGGCCCAGACUCCUACGGGAGGCAGCAGUGGGGAAUAUUGCACAAUGGGCGGAAGCCUGAUGCAGCAACGCCGCGUGCGGGAUGACGGCCUUCGGGUUGUAAACCGCUUUCGCCUGUGACGAAGCGUGAGUGACGGUAAUGGGUAAAGAAGCACCGGCUAACUACGUG